AGAUGUCUCCAGCACAGCGUGGAUUCUAUGGGAAAUUCAGGGCAACUGAGAAACUGUGAUAAUAAGUGGUUGCUCUCACCUAUCUAAGAGGAGGAGAAAUGAAAGAAAAAAUAAGGGAAAUGUGUUUUUCCUUAUAGUAACAGAAGAAAAGGGAGAAAAAUUAAAGAAAGGAAAAAGAAAGAAGGCAAGAUGAAAGCAGCGUGCUCCUCCAAACUUUGAUUUUAAUCACAUCUUUGGGACUCUGUGAGUUGGCAGAGGAUAUGACACAUAGAAAUACUCUGCUCUGAGUUCUUCCACUAGAGCUUCAGAAAAAGAUAAUCAGCUUUUGAUCUGCAUAGCUUCAAAUCAUAAACCUAAAUGAGAUUUUUUAGGCAUACAAAUAAACCAUGACCUCCUUUGUAACUAACCCCUUAA
rnacentral:lncRNA from 1 species